rnacentral:lncRNA from 1 species
UCUAAAUGACUUUCACCCAUCCUGAGUCAAGGUUCAAGUCACUUGGACCCUUCCUAGGUCUGGAAUGGGCUCAGUCCAUGUAAAACCUAAUCUGGUUGGGUCCUGUCCGGGUCGACCUGGACCCAACGCCUGCCACCCCUAAGUGAGAGAAGGGGCAAUACUAGUGAUACAUUACUAUUUUCCUUUCGGUCACUUAUUAAUGAACAGGGAAUUACUUUUGUGAUGACUUUACA